UGACAUAUAUCAAUAAGAUACUGCUCUGGAUUAAGAGAGGAUUCCAACUUUUGCUCAAUGACAUUCACAAUUUUGGUAUUAAUCUUGCAGCAUGAAGCUCAUUUGUUAUUCUCAAUAAAUCACCAGAAAUAGCAUCAGACCAGGAUUAGUAUUACUGGUACUGACUUCCAUAUCAUUAUUAGUACUUCUUCCAGCUGUGGGAUCUGUCACUUUGUCUUCAAUAGUUCUAGCUAGUUCAUUCUCUUUACAUUGUUUCAAAGCAUUAAUGACAUCUCUCCAUGAUGCUGUAGGAUUAACUUGUAACCAUCUCUUAUGUAAUGCCUCCAUCCUGAGGUAAGAGCUUCCUUUUGUUUUAAUUAUAUCAACAUCAAGUUGUGUUAU